rnacentral:misc_RNA from 1 species
AGUCAGUCUAGAUCUGCAGUAUGUAAUGGUUAUGUAAAUCUUAUUGCUAGGGAUUAUGUCAAUGACAAUACCCCAGUCGACAGGGAUGCAGGACAGUCAGGUAGAUGCAAGUGAUGUUGAAUUUACUUGGAACGAAAUCACACAGGGUGUGACAACUACCAACAGUACGUCUGACGAUGGAAACACCAGCCCUACCAUGGUGUUCUCUGUGAUCGGGGACUCCGACAGCUUCGUACCCAGACCCUGGCCAAAGACAGUGUUCCAGACAGCUCUCAUAGAGGCGGCAAAGAGUGGGGGAGAAACCUGGAUUUUGUAUCUCGGAAAGAAACAAGGAAUAUCCAAGGUUGUCAGAGACGCCUACAGAAACUAUGAGGAUAUUGAAUUUAAGACCAGGGCUGCUAAAAAUAAAAUCAACAACCCCGAUCGACAUGUUAAACUGAUAAAUCUUGCAGGAAAAAAGGCAUGCCAAGGGAACUCAGAAAAAAUAACAGAAUUCAAAACUACCCAUGGAGAAGGACAUGGAUGUCUGUUGGACUUUGAAAAAUUCGUUUCUCAACAAGAAGUUGCCUUCUUUAGUCAGAAAAUGGACACCAGUACGCAUACGUAUAUUAAAUGCCAGUUCCCAUAGCAAUCAUCGUAUGUGAGGGUGACAUCGAAACUAUAGCUCAUAUUGCAAAGGCUCUCCAACACAAACUCCCAGUUAUCAUCAUGAAAGGAUCAGGAAUGGCUGCAGACCUUGUUGUCGACUAUUUAGAAAACAAAAACGUACUUUGCAAGAAAGCUAGCAUUUCAUUAGGCAUUCGAUUCGAUGAUUCGAAAUAUAAGGAGUUGAAAAAACAUUUGAAAACAAUUGGAAAAGCUAAAGAGUUGGUUGGGGUAUUUGACCUUGAUCAAGACGAUCCCGCCAUGUUGUCCCACAUUGUGGGGGAGGCAGUGGUCAGCUGCUGGUCACUGCAGGAUAUCCUACAUACGUACACAGACGAUGGUGUGGGGAUACAAAAGCACGAAGAGAUAAGCCUUAGCUCAGACCACUCUCACACGGAAACGAACGGAAACACAACCAAAGGCUCCUCGCUGGCUUGGAAACUUCUGCGUCGAAAUUUUGUCAGUCCUGAAGAGCAGAUUAUUCACCAAGUUCUGGAAGGUUUUAAGGAGUCAAGACCAUACGUAUUAAAUCCUCAGUACUCGAGUCCUACAUCUCUUCCGUUGUAUUUUUAUUUCGGCUACCAGCUUUUGCAAGAAUUGGACUUAACAGAAGAAUGCGGGCCCGUUCUCCUCUUGGAGGCACUGAAGGCAAAUAGGUGUGAUUACGUGAGGGUUUUGUUGGACCAAGGCGUCAAGUUAAAGAUGAUCAAUUUACCAGAACUUUAUGAACAGACCGUUUCCUGUCAGAAAUGUAAAUUCAAAAGAAAAGAUUGCCUACACAUGCAAUGGAUUUUAAAGCAAAUACAAGAAACACAAGCAAAGAAACUAUGCCAUGAAUACAGAUCAAUGAUGAGGAAAAGAAUAAAACACGGAAACCCCCAAGAGGCAAAAUAUAUUGUAGACGAGCUAACAGAAUUAUCAGUUUCUGUAGCUGAUGCGGCCAGAGGAUUGUGUCGUAAAAUGCUGCGAUAUAAAGAAUACAGCAAUGAAUAUACCACUAGUGAAACUUCACAAACAAGCGACGGAAACCUGAAAGAUACGAACAUGUCUGACAUUUUACUUUGGGCAAUUUUCGCAAAUCGAAAGGAACUGGCUGAAAUAUGUUGGCUUAGAGGGGAAAACCAUUUAUGUAAUUAACUGGACUGGUGUGCUCGGCAAUCCUUCGGAAACUUUCCAAAAAGGCAAACAAUGUCAAGGAACAAUUGCUAUCAAUUGAUUUGGAGAAACACUCAAAAUUGUUUGAACAACGUUGCAUUGGUAUUAUGGACAGUAUGUACGAAGAAGACUCACAACAUGCAAUAGAUUUGAUGGAUGACGAGGCAGUAGUUUGGGGAAUUCACUCGAGCCCAUUAACCUUUGCUUACGAGAAUUUCAUGUAUGACGUUGUAGCUCACACUUGUUCUCAGAAGUAUAUGAACAUGCAGUGGUACAAAAACCUGGCGCCGGACCUCACGCCGUUCUUACUGUCUGCAAUAAGAAAGCCGAAAAAUUUCUUUACCGCUCCUCUUACAAAAUACAUGUUUAAUUAUAUACUGUUUUUCGCAGUUUUGAUAAUGUACAGCUCAUUUGUACUGACAAGCAUCGGAGACAAAUACUACUCCCAACUGAUACUUGCAAGAGUGUUCGAAUAUACUGUUUAUUUCUGGGGCGCAGGGGAUUUUAUUGAAGAAAUCAUCAGCUGUUUUGGCUGCUUGGAGAAACGUGGCCGUUCUCACAGAGGUUACUACUCGCGUAUGAAAAGAUACAUUUACGAUUUCUGGAAUGUCGUUGACCUACUGUCAUACCUAUUGCUCAUCGUGGCGCUCUUUAUACGUCAUUUCCAUCCAUCUGAAACCUUUACCCUCGCAAGACGAAUGUAUGCUCUCUCUCUGCUGGUCAUGUAUUUGAGGUUUUUGGAAGUGUUUCUGAUCCAUAGGAAAUUGGGACCAACCCUCAUCAUGAUCAAAGAAAUGUUGAAAGACCUUCUGAGAUUCCUUUACAUAGCUGUUUUUGUGGUGUUUGGAGUUGGGAUCUAUUACCAUGCCAAUCUUUGGCCGGACCACCAAGCAAUGUGGAGUGGAGGGUGGACUAAUUGGAGGAUAUGGACCAUCAUUUACUAUCCGUAUUGGCAACUCUAUGGGGAUCUGAAUCUUGAAGAACUAAACGGUAGCAACCAAACGGAUUGUACUAGUAACCCCAAGGAAUGGGAGUCCGACUUCUCCAAAACCCGGUGUCCACAGGAAGACUGGACUGUGUAUGCGAUAGUGGCGAUAUACAUGUUGUUUUCCAAUAUCCUGUUGGUCAACCUAGUCAUUGCCAUGUUCAGCUACACAUUUGAGAGGGUACAGGAGAACUCGGAGAAGCUGUGGCGGUUUGAGAGAUACACAGUAAUUAAUGAUUACGACUGGAGAAUACCGUCCCCUAUUAACCUGGUAUUCCUUCCAUACCGCCUCUUCCGCUAUCUAGCGAAACAUGAUUGCUGUUUACCACAGUGUAAAAAGAUUUGCAUUGUGGAAAAAAAGAAGAAGGAAAAGAAAAAAAGAGAAAAAAACGAGGCAUACCAGCGGAGCCUUCAAAGAAUAAUAGCACUUAGAAACCACAGUAAACUAUGAACACAUUUAAACGGACAUCGUAAAAUCAAUUAACCUAUGAGGCAAUAGCAUGUUGUAAUGCCCCGUGGCAUAAAAUAUUAUUUUCAUUGAUAUAGAAUGCAAUAUUUUUUUAUUAUCUAUGUUUAAAUCAAAGAACCUUUCAUUUCUACUUUUUUAAUGUUUUGAAUCACAUAGUUUUCAUAAUUUGAAGACGUUAUGCAUUAUUUUAAAAUAUUGUUUUGCAGUUCAUUUUUUUUUCUUUUAACAAAACUAUUAUAAAGUUGAUCAUUGUCAUGCAUUUGAAUAUCAAACUAAUUUGUAGUACAUGCAAUAAAGAUCAUGAUAUAAAUGUUUUAUUUGUCUG